rnacentral:tRNA from 1 species
GGGCUUGUGGUUUAGUGGUAUAAUACUCCCUUAGCACCGUCUGGUGUGUGUUCAUAGCAGCACCGUCAAGCUUGGGAGUGGUCCGGGGUUCGAUUCCCCGCGAGUCCA